GGGUUGUGAGGUUAAGCGACUAAGCGUACACGGUGGAUGCCCUGGCAGUCAGAGGCGAUGAAGGACGUGCUAAUCUGCGAUAAGCGCCGGUAAGGUGAUAUGAACCGUUAUAACCGGCGAUUUCCGAAUGGGGAAACCCAGUGUGACUCGUCACACUAUCAUUAACUGAAUCCAUAGGUUAAUGAGGCGAACCGGGGGAACUGAAACAUCUAAGUACCCCGAGGAAAAGAAAUCAACCGAGAUUCCCCCAGUAGCGGCGAGCGAACGGGGAGGAGCCCAGAGCCUGAAUCAGCAUAUGUGUUAGUGGAAGCGUCUGGAAAGGCGCGCGAUACAGGGUGACAGCCCCGUACACAAAAGCGCAUGUGCUGUGAGCUCGAUGAGUAGGGCGGGACACGUGGUAUCCUGUCUGAAUAUGGGGGGACCAUCCUCCAAGGCUAAAUACUCCUGACUGACCGAUAGUGAACCAGUACCGUGAGGGAAAGGCGAAAAGAACCCCGGCGAGGGGAGUGAAAAAGAACCUGAAACCGUGUACGUACAAGCAGUGGGAGCACCCUUUGGGGUGUGACUGCGUACCUUUUGUAUAAUGGGUCAGCGACUUAUAUUCUGUAGCAAGGUUAACCGAAUAGGGGAGCCGGAGGGAAACCGAGUCUUAACCGGGCGUUAAGUUGCAGGGUAUAGACCCGAAACCCGGUGAUCUAGCCAUGGGCAGGUUGAAGGUUGGGUAACACUAACUGGAGGACCGAACCGACUAAUGUUGAAAAAUUAGCGGAUGACCUGUGGCU
rnacentral:rRNA from 1 species